CCCCCCCCUUGCUCCGGGGCGGCGUGGUGGGGGUGACGGAGGACAGCGCCUCGCCUCGGCCGGCGCCUAGCAGCUGACUUAGAACUGGUGCGGACCAGGAUCAUUU